CAGAGUGAACGCUGGCGGCGUGCUUAACACAUGCAAGUCGAACGAUGAUAGAGAGCUUGCUCUCUAGAUUAGUGGCGCACGGGUGAGUAAUGCAUAGAUACUGUGCCCCUUAGUUCGGGAUAGCCACUGGAAACGGUGAUUAAUACCGGAUACUCCUUCUUGUUAUAAGACAAGUCGGGAAAGUUUUUCGCUAAGGGAUCAGUCUAUGUUCCAUCAGCUUGUUGGUGAGGUAAUGGCUCACCAAGGCUAUGACGGAUAUCUGGUUUGAGAGGAUGAUCAGACACACUGGAACUGAGACACGGUCCAGACUCCUACGGGAGGCAGCAGUGAGGAAUAUUGCACAAUGGAGGAAACUCUGAUGCAGCAACGCCGCGUGGAGGAUGACGCAUUUCGGUGUGUAAACUCCUUUUAUUAGGGAAGAUAAUGACGGUACCUAAUGAAUAAGCACCGGCUAACUCCGUGCCAGCAGCCGCGGUAAUACGGAGGGUGCAAGCGUUACUCGGAAUCACUGGGCGUAAAGGGUGCGUAGGCUGGCUUUUAAGUCAGAUGUGAAAUCCAAUGGCUCAACCAUUGAACUGCAUUUGAAACUGAAAGCCUAGAGUUCAGAAGGGGCAGAUGGAAUUAGUGGUGUAGGGGUAAAAUCCGUAGAUAUCACUAGGAAUAUCAAAAGCGAAGGCGAUCUGCUGGGAUGAUACUGACGCAGAGUGAACGCUGGCGGCGUGCUUAACACAUGCAAGUCGAACGAUGAUAGAGAGCUUGCUCUCUAGAUUAGUGGCGCACGGGUGAGUAAUGCAUAGAUACUGUGCCCCUUAGUUCGGGAUAGCCACUGGAAACGGUGAUUAAUACCGGAUACUCCUUCUUGUUAUAAGACAAGUCGGGAAAGUUUUUCGCUAAGGGAUCAGUCUAUGUUCCAUCAGCUUGUUGGUGAGGUAAUGGCUCACCAAGGCUAUGACGGAUAUCUGGUUUGAGAGGAUGAUCAGACACACUGGAACUGAGACACGGUCCAGACUCCUACGGGAGGCAGCAGUGAGGAAUAUUGCACAAUGGAGGAAACUCUGAUGCAGCAACGCCGCGUGGAGGAUGACGCAUUUCGGUGUGUAAACUCCUUUUAUUAGGGAAGAUAAUGACGGUACCUAAUGAAUAAGCACCGGCUAACUCCGUGCCAGCAGCCGCGGUAAUACGGAGGGUGCAAGCGUUACUCGGAAUCACUGGGCGUAAAGGGUGCGUAGGCUGGCUUUUAAGUCAGAUGUGAAAUCCAAUGGCUCAACCAUUGAACUGCAUUUGAAACUGAAAGCCUAGAGUUCAGAAGGGGCAGAUGGAAUUAGUGGUGUAGGGGUAAAAUCCGUAGAUAUCACUAGGAAUAUCAAAAGCGAAGGCGAUCUGCUGGGAUGAUACUGACG
rnacentral:rRNA from 1 species